UCUAGCCUACCUCAUAAGGUUGCUGUCAGGAUAUAAUGAGGAGGAAGAAUAUCAUAUACACCAUCUGAAGCUCUUUGGAGGAAAGGUGGUGUAAUGAUUUCUGGAAGGCAAGAAAGCCCUGAUAAUAAGUAAUGACUCUCUUACUUCUUAUAAUUUCUGAAACUAGUAAAUGUGGUGUUUGAAGUCAAGACAGCCUCCUCAAGAGAUGGUCUUAAAGAGGAGCUGUCCAAGAACAAAGACAGGUGAUAGCAGAGUUUUUACCCUGACAAAAGGUGAGAUAUUCAGCAUCAGACAAGCAAGGGUGAGGCGGCCAAUAUUACAGGUGGCAUGAUGUCACCACAGGAAAAAGUGCCUGCUGCAGGAGGCUUCUGAAAUGGAGGUUGUCAGGGUGACAGUGCUAUAUGCCCAUGUCACCCCAAACCACCGUUUCAGUUUGGAAACUGCCCAGAGAUUGGAAUUCAUUCAUGCAGCUGAAUGGCCCAGAAAGGAGUAGCCAUGUAAAAUGUCAGAGCUCACUCUCCUGUUUGAGAAAAUAUAUUUGCUGAAGGAAAGUCACCAUUAGACAAACUAAUAUGCCUUUCAAGCAGCAGUAAUGAGUAUCUAAAAAGGGAGAUGUUGUGAAGGUCAGUGAAGGAAGAAAAAAGUAAGCGCAGUUCAGCCAAAACCCACGUCUUAAUGAUUUCAGUUGAUGCAUUUGAAAAGGACCACAGUCAUGAUGAGGUCUGAGAGACCCUGGCCUUGCAUGGGAACCCUGAACUCACCCCCUGAAUGUUCUGCUUCCUGUUUAAAAUGAAAGCCUCCAGUUCUUCCCCAUUGCUCACAACAAAGAAAAAAUGUUUCUGUCUUCCAAUUUCUGGCCAAUGAACAGAACAACUGGCAAGCACUAGAGCCUUCUUUUCUAUUUCUUUUCUCUCUUUCUCUCUCUUGCUCUUAAACUAGUUAGUGCAUUAAUACAUAGUUUAUUGAGCUACUUCUAUUCGUGUACAUCUGGUUGUUCUGUGAUGGUUCCCUGACAUUUCUGGCUCAAUGUAUCUGCAGAUGCAAGCAAACACUGGCAGAUUCUCUUCAGCAGAAGCCACAAAUGGAAAUUCAUCUUUCUAAAGGUUCACCAGCUCACCAACAAGGCAUCUGGCACUAUUGGUGGACUUUGGGCGGCACCCUGUAUGAUGCUAAAAUCUGGUGCCCCCUGCCUCUAACACUCUGUGCUUUGUUUGUUCCACCCUAAAACUGCCUCUCCUGGCACAGUUUAAUCCUGUGGUUCUUUCUCCUGCUUGAACCCCCCCCCCCAAUAAUGAAUCUUCCACUUUAUCAGAUGCAAAGUCCUAUUUCUGAGCAGUCACUCCCAGGAUAUUUGAGGAAUAUUGGGACUUGGGAAUUCAGAAGCAGCAGGAUGUCACCUACAGAGGGCUGUUGGAGGAUAGUGGGUGCUCUAUUUGAAGGUGUCUUCUACAUGAAGGACCAUCCUGCCCCCCUCCUGGUUAAAGAUAAAGCAUAAAAAAGGAGAGCAGACACUCUGGACUUGUCCAUCAACACUGAGGUACCUUGAUAGCAGACUGGGCCAGCAGCUGGGAUACCUGGUUACUUAUGGUUAGGUGUAUCUCUAUUUAAAUUAGAAAUUACUGAAUUUGCAUCUGUAAAUAGAAAUUUGUGUAUGCAAAUAUUUAUUGUUAAAAAAUGAUGAUACAUUUUCUCUCCCUUUGAUUUUGGCUUGUAGCUAACCAAGCCAUACUUAGACUCAUUGAUCCAACUUAACUAAAACCAUUGUCUACUCUGACUGUGAUUUAGCUGAAUUCUAGAAUUGCAGAGUAGGAAGGGACCCUGAGUGUCACACAGUUCAAUCCCCUGCCUUACAGCAAUCUCAACUAAAGCAUGCAUGACAGAGUAGAAUAAUAUUUUAGGAAGCUAGUUUACCACUUGGGGAGGAAUUGGGCAAAAUAAGAACACACAGUUUCCCUUAUAGCUCCCUAAGUAAAAAAACAUAUUUUAAAAAACAAGCUAGAAAUUGGGCUGGGGCUGGGGCUGGAAUAUUCCUGAAGGUGGCAGACCCCCAUAAUUCCCUUGUUGACUCCAUGCCAUUAUCCACAAGAAUUUCCUUAUUUUAACCUGUGAAAUAUGGCAGACUAUCCUGUCAGCAAGCAGAGAUUCAGUAUGAAGUUCAGCAUGCAUCAGGAGCCAGCACAAUGCAGGGUGUUUGUGGGGAGAAAGAACAUUUACGCAAUUUAUUAGGCACAGUUGGAAGGUAUGUGAAAAAUGAUGUAGUUAUCCUUGGGAAGUUAUUGUGUAUCAGAAAAGCUUCCCCUGCAUUCAAUUUGCGUAUGUUCUCUUGUAGUGUAAUUACAAAUGGCCAGUUAGUAAAAGGCUCUAAUGUCAGACUGAAUUAGUUUUCCAAAGCUUGUCUAAAAACAGGAGGAAAAAGCUAGGAGGGACUUUUAUCAUCAUCAUCAUCAUCAUCAUUAUUAGUAUGUGUGUUGAUAGGGGUCUGCUAGGGGCCUAGUAAAUGGGGACUAUUAGAAUACCUCUUCCCAUGCGUCUCUGCUGAGAGGCAGAUAGAUUUGUGAAUGCAUCCGACAUUUAAUGAGGCUUAAUGUGUGAAGAUGAGAGCAGCUGGGGAGGCUGUUAAAAGGGAGUGAGGGAAGAAAAAGGAGAAUGUGCACUGUAGAGUUUAAGGGAACCAAGCAAAAAAAGAAGAUGGCAUAUUUGGCACAUUCUUUUCAUAUAGCCCAAUCUAUAGCAAGGAAGGGACUUUGGGGAAAAGAGAGAGGGGCAAAGUUGGAGGAAAGGAGCAUUGCUCUAAGAUUUACCCUGUGAAAAAGGAGAUGUGCAUCUUUGCAAAAUGAAGCUCAAGGCUUCUGCGUUGCAAAAGGUCUCACCUAUUCAAUUUAUUGGAGUCCACCCCCCCUUAUACUUUUGAGAACAACUGUCAGAACUGGUGGGCAGGCAAUUCAAUACAGGAAUCACCACAGAACAUAUGUUUGAUUUAGUUCUGAUUUAAUAUUUGUAUGUUCAACAAUGAAUGGGCAACUAUUAUUAUUAUUAUUAAUAAUAAUAUUCAUUAAAUUUGUAUACUGCCCUUCACUCGAAGAUUACAGGAUGGUUCACAACAUAAAAAUACAAAAUGAGAACACAAAAUACAUCAUAAGAUCAAAACAAAACAAAAAAUACCCCCCCUUCAAACACAUUUAAAAGGCCACAGAAUGUUAAUCACCCAAAGGAACAUUUUCACUCUUCAAGUCAUACUGUGCAGCAUGAAGCAAUAGGAUGGAUAAAAACAGACUUCUAUUGGAAUAAAAACUGUCCAGACCCAUAAAUAUUCAAAAAUUCAAAAGCUCAAAUAACAAAACUUGUUCCAAAACAGAUACAAAAACAAAUAAUGGUACAUCUAAAUAGUUGUAUAAUAUCAUGUGCAUGUCCAGUACAUCACAGUCACUAACUGCUGUUGCCAUGUGCCCCAUAUCUCAUGUGCCCUCUAUACUUCCCCUUGCUCAGAACCACUGUGAUUUCAGAAGCCCCCACCCCCUCCCCAGCAACUCUUUCCCAGGCACAUCCUAUGUUGGUUAAUUUAAAAACAACAAAAACCAAAAAUUAAAAGCACACAAGUUACAUUUUUAAAUUCCUGCAUUGUGGGGACUAACAGAAGGACAACAAAAAUGAAUUUUGGAAGGCCUUAUGGUGGCUACUUACUUAGAGGUAAGGAAACCCAUACCCUCCAAGUGUCUCUAUUUUCCAUGGACAGUCCUGGAAUUACAAAAGCCACCUGAGCAUCUGAUUUGAUCCCGGAAUGUCCCUAUUUUCCCCACCAGAAUUGCUGCUGCUGAGCUUGGGGAGGAGGAUUAGCCAGUGCUUAUCCUGAGUUGCAGUGGCGGAAAGGUCAUGGGGAGCAUCCCAUUGCCUCCCCAUGACCUUUCCAUGGCCACUGCUGCCAGUCUCCUUCUCUCUGAUAGGAAGUGCUGGGGGGGGGGACAAAAAUGAGUGGGUGAGGAGGGGGCAAGUGACAAAUGUCCCCAUUUUCAUCUGAGGGAUAUUGGGGGGUAUGGAAAGAGAAGAGUGUAUGCAUGUGUUUUGGGAUUGGGAAAUGGCAGGGAAUGGCCUCAGGGGGUGCGGGAAGGGGGAACACAGGGAUUUUUUCUAUGCCCUAGAGUUUGGUCCGAGAAGAUUUCUGAGAGUUGCCUAUCAGUUGAUGUGGGUUUUCAUGACCCAUACACAGGUCAAUUCUUUCUAUGGCUUGGGAGAACUUCAUGGCAUAAACUACAGAUGCAGUAUGGAUUUGGCCAUGCAGAAGGUGGUACUGUCCCCACCCUACCUUUCUGAAAUCAGAACCAUCUUGCUUUGAUAAUGUAUAAAUCAUGCCUUAGAGAGAGCUGGGAGCAGCACACAUGUCAGUAGUGUGAAGCAAACACACCAAAAAGCCUUCUCACAGAAAGGGGAGGAUGCAUGUUAUUAAAGGUGAAAGCAAAGAAUAGAUAUUUGGCAGCCUGUUCUCUUUGUGCCUUGCAUCUGAAAUCUAGUAUUUUGGGGGAAGGCUGAAUUGCAAAGCAGAAGAGAGGCCUGGGAGAUAGUACUUAUCAUGGAAUGAGAUCUGUUUCUGCCAUACUUAAUCCAGUGUAACACAUGAUUACAACAGUAAUGCUUCUCCUUUACACAUACUCUUGUUCUGAAACAUUUAAAUAUUUCAAAAAACAUAGUUAAUCAUUUAUGUUAAUAGGAGUAACCACACUCAGCUUGAUGGGGUGUGUCAUUUCUUGAGCAAAAUGAACUCUUUGGGGGGUGUAUUUUCAUCAUAUUAAAUACUCUUACAGCAAAAUAUACGUAGAAAAACAUCUUUGCACAUGUGGUCUCAAGCAGUAGACUAUUUUUAUCAUUAUUUAUUAUACUGAUCGUUGUAUUUUGAACUGAGAGCAAAGUAAGACACCUGAUGGCGAUGAAGGGAAAAGAAAUCACAUAUUUGGUGUCUGAUUCUGACAAAUCAGUGAUGGACAAGAGUUGUGAGAUUUGGACUGGCUGUCUGAAAGCUGAGUAAUAUGGUGAAUUGCAAACAUUUAAUUUGAUGAUUACGGUAAUUUAAAGGUUUCAUUGGAUAAUUCUAAUGUAUUAGUUCGGUUACCUACAUGCUGCAGAUCACCCUAUUUCACCUAGGAAUAGUCACUUUUUCUGGAACUUGUUCCUGGUAAACUAUUGGCCACAUUUUUUGCCAUUAACUUUUGUUAUAUAUAAUUUAUUUCUUACAUUUAUAUCCCACAUUUCCUCCAAGGUGCUCAAGGUUCCCUCCCCUUCAGAUUUUCUCCUUGCAACCCUAUGAAGUAGGUUAGUCUGAGAGACUGUGGCUGGCUCAAGGUCACCCAGUGAGCACCAUGGCUGAGUGGGGAAUUGAAUUCUGGUCUCCCAGAUCCCAAUCCAACACUCUAACAUUCUAACCAUUAUGCCACACUGGCCGUCUGAGAAAAGUGUCUAGUUAGGGUUGCCAAGCUGCCUGCUCAUGAUUUCUGAGUGUGUGUGUGUACCCUGUUCUCUAGGGAACUGCACGCACAUGAAUAAUAGGACAACCUCCAAUGCACAGUCCAUCAUUCCACACACUGCAACUGCUGAGGUAUAACUGCAGGUAACACUGAAAAACGAUGCUCUUCAAAUAGUUCUUUUUUAUAUCAUUUUUAUUAAAUCUCCAAAAAUAUCUAUUCAAAUAUUUAUUUAAGCAAAAGAUUCUGGAGCAAAGGAUACUCCCAAACCAUGCAUUUGCUGCUUUGUGGAAAACACAAUCAUGUCUAAAUCAGAAAAUCAAUUCAUCCAAUGUACCAACUGCACUUCUGACCUGUCUAAUUUCAGUUUCAGUUUGUUUACCUGCAUCCAGCCUUUCACUGGCCCCAGAGAAAGAUGCGUGACCUCUAAAACAAUCCUGCACCACCUAAAAGGUUAACAAAACUAGAUUUCCUAGAAUCAGAUGGAAAGGUGAAAUGCAUUUGGCCAUUCUGGUUAUACUAUGACAGUGCACCCCAAAGCUCUGGACAGCCUAUCCCAAUGGAUUCAUGUUGACAUUAAAGUCUUAACUACGUAAGACGAGCCUUGCUGGUUUAGACUAACGGCCUUAACCAUUCCAGCAUUCUGUUCCCACGAUGGUCAAUGAGAUGCCUCUGUGAAAUUUGUAAGUAGAAGACAUUCAUACUCACACUCUUACCCAGUGACAACUACUCAGAGGCAUGAUGCCUCUGAUCUUGAAGGUAGUGCACAGCCAUCAAAACUAGUAGCCACUGAGAACCCCCA